CCAUGCACAGAAAAAAUCUUCCCCAGGGAUGGAGCCAGAGGAUCUAAUGGGGGCUGUUGCCCUCCUUACAAUUUUAAAAACCCUAUUUUUAUAAAGGAAAUUUUUAAUUGUGUAUAUUCGCCCCGCUACACAAAAAUUCUGGCUCCGUCUCUGUCCUGUGCAAUAACUUAGCUCACGAGACUUAUUUAACGACCAUGGAUAUCGGUGGGAUGUAUCGGUUGUCUAUCUUAUUCCUACCUAUAUAUAUGCAUAACAAUUGUAGCCAAAAAAAGGUUUAACUUCAGAAACCCACCAAGCUAGCUAGCUAGCUUAUAAUUAAUUCGUCAUCCCUUUUUCUCCAACCGAAGAAGAAGAUGAUGUUGAAUCCUAAAGUGUCGUCUCUUGUUUCGUAUGUGGUACUCCUCCUCCUCUUGCUUUCAAUUCAUUCUCUUCCGUCCUCGGUCGUCGUCGCACGGGACGUCUCUCCAGCCAGGCACAGGUUAAUUGCUGCUCGUGGAAGUACAUCGAAUCCGCUAGUCCCUCAUGCAGUUUCGGAUGCAGUUGGCAUGCGCAAGAGAAGGCCGUCACCCUAAAUUGAAUUUGGGGUGAUGCUAUUUGAUGAAAUCCUCCAUAUGUAUUGUUGCAUAUUUGUGCUUAGAAAGGCUACAUAUAUGUAAAAUAUAUAUGUUGUCAUUGGGCUUUAUUUUGAGACGUUUCUUGAUUAAAACAAAAUAAUUAAAGACUUUAUCCGAUUCUGUUGUGAUCUUCAAA